ACGCUCGACCCUACGUGAGGCAGCAGUGGGGAAUAUUGCACAAUGGGGGAAACCCUGAUGCAGCGACGCCGCGUGAAGGAUGAAGUAUUUCGGUAUGUAAACUUCUAUCAGCAGGGAAGAAAGUGACGGUACCUGACUAAGAAGCCCCGGCUAACUACGUGCAGCAGCCGCGGUAAUCUGAGCGGGCUGGCAAGGC
rnacentral:rRNA from 1 species